rnacentral:rRNA from 1 species
GAACUUAAGCAUAUCAAUAAGCGGAGGAAAAGAAACCAACAGGGAUUGCCUCAGUAACGGCGAGUGAAGCGGCAACAGCUCAAAUUUGAAAUCUGGCCGCAAGGUCCGAGUUGUAAUUUGUAGAGGAUGCUUUUGGCGAGGUGCCUUCCGAGUUCCCUGGAACGGGACGCCAUAGAGGGUGAGAGCCCCGUACGGUAGGACCACCAAGCCUCUGUAAAGCUCCUUCGACGAGUCGAGUAGUUUGGGAAUGCUGCUCUAAAUGGGAGGUGUACGUCUUCUAAAGCUAAAUACCGGCCAGAGACCGAUAGCGCACAAGUAGAGUGAUCGAAAGAUGAAAAGCACUUUGAAAAGAGGGUUAAAAAGUACGUGAAAUUGUUGAAAGGGAAGCAUUCAUGACCAGACUUGGGCUUGGUUGAACAUCCGGCGUUCUCGCCGGUGCACUCUGCCAGUCCAGGCCAGCAUCAGUUUGCCCCGGGGGAUAAAGGCGGCGGGAAUGUGGCUCCCUUCGGGGAGUGUUAUAGCCCGUCGUGUAAUGCCCUGGGGCGGACUGAGGAGCGCGCUUCGGCACGGAUGCUGGCGUAAUGGUCAUCAAUGACCCGUCUUGAAACACGGACCAAGGAGUCGUCUUCGUAUGCGAGUGUUCGGGUGUCAAACCCCUACGCGUAAUGAAAGUGAACGUAGGUGAGAGCUUCGGCGCAUCACCGACCGAUCCUGAUGUUCUCGGAUGGAUUUGAGUAAGAGCAUACGGGGCCGGACCCGAAA